GCUGUAAUGGCAGGUCAGCAUACUGCCGUGAAUACGUUCCCGGGCCCUUGUACACACCGCCCGUCACACCAUGAGAGUUGGGGAUACCCGAAGCCUGUGAGCUAACAGUAAUGUAGCAGCAGUCGAAGGUAGAAUCAAUGAUUGGGGUGAAGUCGUAACAAGGUACC
rnacentral:rRNA from 1 species